rnacentral:rRNA from 1 species
CCUACGGGAGGCUGCAGUGGGGGAUAUUGCACAAUGGGGGAAACCCUGAUGCAGCGACGCCGCGUGUGGGAAGACGGUCCUCUGGAUUGUAAACCACUGUCCCCAGGGACGAAGAUGACGGUACCUGGGGAGGAAGCUCCGGCUAACUACGUGCCAGCAGCCGCGGUAAUACGUAGGGAGCGAGCGUUCUCCGGAAUUACUGGGUGUAAAGGGAGCGUAGGCGGGACUGCAAGUUGGGUGUCAAAUCUACCGGCUCAACCGGUAGCCGCACUCAAAACUGCAGUUCUUGAGUGAAGUAGAGGCAGGAGGAAUUCCUAGUGUAGCGGUGAAAGGCGUAGAUAUUAGGAGGAACACCAGUGGCGAAGGCGGCCUGCUGGGCUUUUACUGACGCUGAGGCUCGAAAGUGUGGGGAGCAAACAGGAUUAGAUACCCCAGUAGUC